rnacentral:rRNA from 1 species
AUUGAACGCUGGCGGCAUGCCUUACACAUGCAAGUCGAACGGCAGCACGGGAGCAAUCCUGGUGGCGAGUGGCGAACGGGUGAGUAAUAUAUCGGAACGUGCCCAGUCGUGGGGGAUAACGUAGCGAAAGCUACGCUAAUACCGCAUACGAUCUAUGGAUGAAAGCGGGGGAUCGCAAGACCUCGCGCGAUUGGAGCGGCCGAUAUCAGAUUAGGUAGUUGGUGAGGUAAAGGGUCACCAAGCCGACGAUCUGUAGCUGGUCUGAGAGGACGGCCAGCCACACUGGGACUGAGACACGGCCCAGACUCCUACGGGAGGCAGCAGUGGGGACUUUUGGACAAUGGGCGCAAGCCUGAUCCAGCAAUGCCGCGUGCAGGAUGAAGGCCUUCGGGUUGUAAACUGCUUUUGUACGGAACGAAACGGUGAGCUCUAAUACAGUUUGCUAAUGACGGUACCGUAAGAAUAAGCACCGGCUAACUACGUGCCAGCCGCCGCGGUAA